GUGCCAGCCGCCGCGGUACUACCGGCAGCCCGAGUGAUGGCCGAUCUUAUUGGGCCUAAAGCGUCUGUAGCUGGCUGCGCAAGUCCGUCGGGAAAUCCACUCGCCCAACGAGUGGGCGUCCGACGGAAACUGCACAGCUUGGGACCGGAAGGCUCGAAGGGUACGUUCGGGGUAGGAGUGAAAUCCUAUAAUCCCGCACGGACCACCGAUGGCGAAAGCACCUCGGAAGGACGGAUCCGACAGUGAGGGACGAAAGCUAGGGUCUCGAACCGGAUUAGAAACCCCAGUAGUCC
rnacentral:rRNA from 1 species